GGUCUCGUAGCUCACUCAGCUGGUAGAGCGUGCGCUAUACAAAAGCGUAUGCGGCAUCCAUGCGUGGGUUCGAAUCCCACCCAGGUUA
rnacentral:tRNA from 1 species